rnacentral:rRNA from 1 species
GACGAACGCUGGCGGCGUGCUUAACACAUGCAAGUCGAACGGAAAGGCCCUGCUUUUGUGGGGUGCUCGAGUGGCGAACGGGUGAGUAACACGUGAGUAACCUGCCCUUGACUUUGGGAUAACUUCAGGAAACUGGGGCUAAUACCGGAUAGGAGCUCCUGCUGCAUGGUGGGGGUUGGAAAGUUUCGGCGGUUGGGGAUGGACUCGCGGCUUAUCAGCUUGUUGGUGGGGUAGUGGCUUACCAAGGCUUUGACGGGUAGCCGGCCUGAGAGGGUGACCGGCAACAUUGGGACUGAGAUAGGGCCCAGACUCCUACGGGAGGAAGCAGUGGGGAAUAUUGCACAAUGGGCGGAAGCCUGAUGCAGCAACGCCGCGUGCGGGAUGACGGCCUUCGGGUUGUAAACCGCUUUCGCCUGUGACGAAGCGUGAGUGACGGUAAUGGGUAAAGAAGCACCGGCUAACUACGUG